AUUGAACGCUGGCGGCAUGCCUAACACAUGCAAGUCGAACGGCAGCACAGCAGUAGCAAUACUGUGGGUGGCGAGUGGCGGACGGGUGAGGAAUACGUCGGAAUCUGCCCAGUCGUGGGGGAUAACUAGCCGAAAGGUUAGCUAAUACCGCAUACGACCGAGAGGUGAAAGCGGGGGACCGCAAGGCCUCGCGCGAUUGGAUGAGCCGACGUCGGAUUAGCUAGUUGGCGGGGUAAAGGCCCACCAAGGCGACGAUCCGUAGCUGGUCUGAGAGGAUGAUCAGCCACACUGGAACUGAGACACGGUCCAGACUCCUACGGGAGGCAGCAGUGGGGAAUAUUGGACAAUGGCGCAAGCCUGAUCCAGCAA
rnacentral:rRNA from 1 species